rnacentral:rRNA from 1 species
GAUGAACGCUGGCGGCGUGCCUAAUACAUGCAAGUCGAGCGAACAGACGAGGAGCUUGCUCCUCUGACGUUAGCGGCGGACGGGUGAGUAACACGUGGAUAACCUACCUAUAAGACUGGGAUAACUUCGGGAAACCGGAGCUAAUACCGGAUAAUAUAUUGAACCGCAUGGUUCAAUAGUGAAAGACGGUUUUGCUGUCACUUAUAGAUGGAUCCGCGCCGCAUUAGCUAGUUGGUAAGGUAACGGCUUACCAAGGCAACGAUGCGUAGCCGACCUGAGAGGGUGAUCGGCCACACUGGAACUGAGACACGGUCCAGACUCCUACGGGAGGCAGCAGUAGGGAAUCUUCCGCAAUGGGCGAAAGCCUGACGGAGCAACGCCGCGUGAGUGAUGAAGGUCUUCGGAUCGUAAAACUCUGUUAAUAGGGAAGAACAAAUGUGUAAGUAACUAUGCACGUCUUGACGGUACCUAAUCAGAAAGCCACGGCUAACUACGUG